rnacentral:rRNA from 1 species
UACGGAGGGGGCUAGCGUUGUUCGGAAUUACUGGGCGUAAAGCGCACGUAGGCGGCUUUGUAAGUUAGAGGUGAAAGCCCAGGGCUUAACCCUGGAAUUGCCUUUAAGACUGCAUCGCUAGAAUCGUGGAGAGGUGAGUGGAAUUCCGAGUGUAGAGGUGAAAUUCGUAGAUAUUGGGAAGAACACCGGUGGCGAAGGCGGCUCACUGGCUCAUUACUGACGCUCAGGCGCGACAGCGUGGGGAUCAAACAGG